AGAGUUUGAUCCUGGCUCAGGACGAACGCUGGCGGCGUGCCUAAUACAUGCAAGUCGAGCGGACAGAUGGGAGCUUGCUCCCUGAUGUUAGCGGCGGACGGGUGAGUAACACGUGGGUAACCUGCCUGUAAGACUGGGAUAACUCCGGGAAACCGGGGCUAAUACCGGAUGGUUGUUUGAACCGCAUGGUUCAAACAUAAAAGGUGGCUUCGGCUACCACUUACAGAUGGACCCGCGGCGCAUUAGCUAGUUGGUGGGGUAACGGCUCACCAAGGCAACGAUGCGUAGCCGACCUGAGAGGGUGAUCGGCCACACUGGGACUGAGACACGGCCCAGACUCCUACGGGAGGCAGCAGUAGGGAAUCUUCCGCAAUGGACGAAAGUCUGACGGAGCAACGCCGCGUGAGUGAUGAAGGUUUUCGGAUCGUAAAGCUCUGUUGUUAGGGAAGAACAAGUACCGUUCGAAUAGGGCGGUACCUUGACGGUACCUAACCAGAAAGCCACGGCUAACUACGUGCCAGCAGCCGCGGUAAUACGUAGGUGGCAAGCGUUGUCCGGAAUUAUUGGGCGUAAAGGGCUCGCAGGCGGUUUCUUAAGUCUGAUGUGAAAGCCCCCGGCUCAACCGGGGAGGGUCAUUGGAAACUGGGGAACUUGAGUGCAGAAGAGGAGAGUGGAAUUCCACGUGUAGCGGUGAAAUGCGUAGAGAUGUGGAGGAACACCAGUGGCGAAGGCGACUCUCUGGUCUGUAACUGACGCUGAGGAGCGAAAGCGUGGGGAGCGAACAGGAUUAGAUACCCUGGUAGUCCACGCCGUAAACGAUGAGUGCUAAGUGUUAGGGGGUUUCCGCCCCUUAGUGCUGCAGCUAACGCAUUAAGCACUCCGCCUGGGGAGUACGGUCGCAAGACUGAAACUCAAAGGAAUUGACGGGGGCCCGCACAAGCGGUGGAGCAUGUGGUCUAAUUCGAAGCAACGCGAAGAACCUUACCAGGUCUUGACAUCCUCUGACAAUCCUAGAGAUAGGACGUCCCCUUCGGGGGCAGAGUGACAGGUGGUGCAUGGUUGUCGUCAGCUCGUGUCGUGAGAUGUUGGGUUAAGUCCCGCAACGAGCGCAACCCUUGAUCUUAGUUGCCAGCAUUCAGUUGGGCACUCUAAGGUGACUGCCGGUGACAAACCGGAGGAAGGUGGGGAUGACGUCAAAUCAUCAUGCCCCUUAUGACCUGGGCUACACACGUGCUACAAUGGACAGAACAAAGGGCAGCGAAACCGCGAGGUUAAGCCAAUCCCACAAAUCUGUUCUCAGUUCGGAUCGCAGUCUGCAACUCGACUGCGUGAAGCUGGAAUCGCUAGUAAUCGCGGAUCAGCAUGCCGCGGUGAAUACGUUCCCGGGCCUUGUACACACCGCCCGUCACACCACGAGAGUUUGUAACACCCGAAGUCGGUGAGGUAACCUUUUAGGAGCCAGCCGCCGAAGGUGGGACAGAUGAUUGGGGUGAAGUCGUAACAAGGUAGCCGUAUCGGAAGGUGCGGCUG
rnacentral:rRNA from 1 species